GAUGAACGCUGGCGGCGCGCCUAACACAUGCAAGUCGAACGGCACCCCUCCUCGGAGGGAAGCGAGUGGCGAACGGCUGAGUAACACGUGGAGAACCUGCCCCCUCCCCCGGGAUAGCCGCCCGAAAGGACGGGUAAUACCGGAUACCCCGGGGUGCCGCAUGGCACCCCGGCUAAAGCCCCGACGGGAGGGGAUGGCUCCGCGGCCCAUCAGGUAGACGGCGGGGUGACGGCCCACCGUGCCGACAACGGGUAGCCGGGUUGAGAGACCGACCGGCCAGAUUGGGACUGAGACACGGCCCAGACUCCGACGGGAGGCAGCAGUGGGGAAUCUUGCGCAAUGGGGGGAACCCUGACGCAGCGACGCCGCGUGCGGGACGGAGGCCUUCGGGUCGUAAACCGCUUUCAGCAGGGAAGAGUCAAGACUGUACCUGCAGAAGAAGCCCCGGCUAACUACGUG
rnacentral:rRNA from 1 species